CCCUUACUUCACAGCAACAACCCAACACAUAGCAAAGGACUAUGGACAUUUUGCAAACCAUGUAUCUGGUAACGGACUUCUAUCUAGAGCAUAUAAAAGUACUCUCACAAUCCAAUCAUAAUAUGACAAAGAAUCCAACUUAAAAAUGGGUAAAGGAUCUAAAUAGACAUUUCUCCAAAGAUUAUAAGUGAUCACUAGGCACAGAAAAAAUGCUCAACAUUAUUAACCAUCAGGGAAAUGAAAAUCAAACCUACAAGAGACACCAUUUUAUCAACACUAGGAAAACUAUAAUCAAAAAGUCUGAUGAUAACAAGUGUUGGCAAGAAUGUGGAGAAACUGGAAGCCUUUACACACUGCUGGUAGGAAUGUAAAGAUGGUGCAGCCACAUUGAAGAAAUUUUAGAGUACCCCAAAAGGUUGAACAUAGUUACCACACAACCCAGCAAAUCUAUUCCUAGGUAUUCUACUCCCAAGAGAAAUGAAAACCUGUGUCCACACAAAAACUUUUGUACAAAUGUUCACAGCAGGGGCAGGGGCCCCCAUCGUGGCCGAGCGCAAGACAAAAUUGUCCAAGAAUCGCUGCGGAUGAAGUUUAUGCAAAGGAGAUCGACUCAAAAACCAAGAAACAACUAGAAGAAGAAAAGCAAAUUAUUAGUUAAGAGCACCAGUACUUGGAUUUGCCAGAGCAGAGAAAGAAAAUUAAUGCUUCAGAUGAAUGCUAAGCACAAAGCAGUAGAAGUUGAAGAUGAAACAGUGGAGCUCCAUGUGUCAGAUGAAGAGAAGGCUAGAAAAUAUGAGACUUUGGUGGGGACAAUUGGGAAAAAGUUUGCCAGAAAGAGAGACCAUGCCAAUUAUGAAGAAGAUGAAAAUGGAGACGUACAACCGAUUAAAGCAAAGAAGAUGUUCUUAAAGCCACAGGAUUAAGAUGGAUGACUUAAGCCACGGCCCACGGGUGCUCCACGGAAGUCAGCUGCUUCAUGGAAGUCAGCAGCGGAUCUAGAGCUCAUCCCAAUGGUGUCUCUAUAGUUACUAACACUGUAAUGUUUACUUUGUAAAGAGAUGUAUCAUUUUAGAAACAGGCUGUUUUUGAAACAGAUGUUGAUGGAUGCUGUACAUCCUUUGCUUAAUGGUAUUCAUUCAUAGUGGAUUUGUAGCCCCGCCCCCCAGCCCCCAUCUUCAAAGGUACAUUGUUACAGGGCUGCUUCCCGAAGAGUUUUUUUGACCUCAGGUUUCUCUUAAUUCAGUUCUCCAGUCACUGACCUUGAACUGACUCAUGUAAAUUAAUGCCAAUGUUUAAACUGCCCUUAUGUUUAUAUUUAUGUCAAGCCAAUUCAUACAUACACUUUGGAAUCAAAUGUCCUAAGAGUUUAUUAUGUAAGUUUAUCAAGACUAAACAUGCCUCUCCAGCCUUAAAAAAAAAAAAAAAUGUUCACAGUAUUAUGCAUAGUAGGCAAAGGGUAGAAACAGCCCAAAUGCCCAUCAACAGAUGAAUGGAUAAAAUGUGCUAUGUUCAUACAAUUAAAUAGUAUAUGACAAUAAAGUAUUGAUAUAUGUUACAACAAAAUGACCCUGGAUAAGGCUACAUACUAUAUGAUUCCAUUUAUGUGAAACGUCCAGAAUAGAUAAAUGUACAAACUAGUACCUGGGUGGACAGGAGAACUGAGAGGAAAUGGGGAGUAAUUGCUAAUGGAAAUAGUUUAUUUCUGAGGUGAUAAGUUGUAAAAUAAUUGAUUGUAGCGAUGGUUGCACAACUCUGAAGACAUUAAAAUUCCAUUUUUCUUUUCUUUUUUUUUUUUUUUUUUUUUU